GGCGUUUCUCAGGUGACGCACCCCGGAAUCAGGCUCCCUCCUCUCUGGUUCUGGAUGCAUCACCCAAGAACCACA
rfam:Myotis lucifugus cont2.35584, whole genome shotgun sequence.